CAUUUUGUCUCCCCAUGUUGGGAGACGAUAUCCCAGCCGCGGUGGUGCUGCCGCUUUCGUGUGACUUUGGGUUUCCCGAGCGAGCCCGCAGCUGCACAGCAGUCCGCCUUCCCGUACCCGAGAGAAGCCGCCUCAGACCCCAGCCAGCGGGCACCCCCGGAGGCCCCGAGCCUGGCUGCAGGCCCUAGACCUGCACCAGGGGCCCAACCAGUUACCCGUAGCAUGGGCCACGUUCUCCCGCUGUAGACCGGGCUGAGGCCCGACGGCCACCCCUGGGGGAGGAGUUUUCUUAGCUUCCGGUAGGGCAGCCAGGCCGGGGUCCCACCAGACCCAGGACGUGAUACCGGUGAAGCGGCACAUACAGGAACAAGGCAGGAGGAAAAUAAUAAGCACCUUAAAGUUUCCACUUUUCGGUACCGUACUUCCUGUUAAUGUUUCUAAGCCCGUGAUUCUGGGCCUGAUAAUCAGCCAGCCGUCCUCACAGCAGAGUUGUAAGACGCUGGGCUGCUCAAGCACAAGUUCAUAUCUAGACCCACCGCUGGCGAGCAGCCCUGGACGUCCCGCUUAGCUGUCCUAACCAACUCAGGUGGCCUUGAUCCGCAACAGGACGCGGUACCACGUAAUGAACUGUCCAUUUGAGUGCAAGGAUUUAUAUUUGUUAUUACGAUUUGGGGGUGUUUUUAAGAGGCAGGGUUUUGCCCAGGCUGUUCUCGAAUUUGGGGCUCAAGCGAUCCUCCGACCUCAGCCUCCCAAGUAGCUGGGACUACCCGUGCAUGACACCCUAUCUGGCCCUUGUUUUUUGUUGUUGUUGUUGUUCUUUCUUUUUUCACGUGGUUUCGCACUUGUCACCCAGGCUGGAGUGCAAUGGUGUGUUGUCGGCUCACUGCAACCUGUCUCUCAGGUUGAAGUGAUUCUCGUGUCUCAGUCUUCCGAGUAGCUGGGAUUACAGGCGUGUGCCACCACGCCUGGCUAAUUUUUGUAUUUUUAGUAAAGACGGGGCUUCACUAUAUUGGUCAGGCUGGUCUCGAUUUCCUGACCUCAGGUGAUCUGCCCACCUCAGCCUCCCAAAGUGCUGAUAUUACAGGCGUGAGCCACCACGCCCGGCCCGUAUCCGGCUUUAAGAUUUGUUUUUCACUUGCCCGUGGGAGGAUGUACUUAUCUCAGAUGCUAGAGCCGGGAGACCCUCCCCCCCACCACCCCCAUCUCCUGCAGGAGCUCUGAUCGCAGAUUGGAGUGUCUGAACUCUGCAUCUAUGGACGGUGCUUCUGUAAGCCGGCCGCAACUCUGGAGUGGCAUAGUAAAGUGGCAAAGGCUUUGCCUUUCUGGUUAAAGACCCCAGCACCUCCAGUGAGACCCUUUCCUGUACCCCCACUGAUAUUCUUUAUGGAAUGUUUUGUGCGUGAGUCAGCACAUUUAAUGCCCGUGAAUAGUGACAAAACAUGGUUUGCAGUACCCUAAUGACUGAUGAUGCUGAGAAUCUUUUGAUGUGCUUGUUGGCCGUUUGUACAUCUUUGGAGAAAUUUCUCUUCGUGUCUUUUGUCUAUUUUAUUUUUUUGGGACAGAGUCUCACUCCUAACCCCGGGCUGGAGUGCAGUGGCACGAUCUCCACGCACUACAAUUCUUGUACCUCAGCCUCCCAAGUAGCUGGGAUUACAGGCGCACGCCACCACCCAGCUCAUUUUUUUAUUUUUAGUAGAGGUGGAGUUUUUUGUAGAGAUUGUGUCUCCCUGUGUUGCCCAGGCUGGUCUUGAACUCCUGGGCUCAAACUGUCCUCCCCCCUUAACCUCCCAAAGUGCUGGGAUUACAGGUGUGAGCCAUGGCACCCAGCCCUAGAAUGAUUUUUUAGUUUCCCUUUAAACUUUAUUUUUUUAUUCACUGUAGUGUGGUGGACGGUGGUGCCCCAAAACUUCACAACCACCUAGACAUUCGGAAGGUGACCUUAUUUGGAAUAAGAGAUUUUGCAGAUGUAAUUGAGUUAAAGAUCUGAAGAUGAAAUCAUCAUGAAUUUAGGGUAGGCCGUAAAUCCAAUGACUGACAUCCUUACAAGAAGACAAGAGGACACAGGCACCCGGGGGAAGAGGCCGUAGGAGACCCAGGCAGAGAUUCGGAGCGGUGCCCAUGCCAGGGAUCUCCAGGAGGAGCCAGAAGCUGGGAGAGGCCCUGCAGAUCCUCUCCCAGAGCCUUUGGAGGAGGCACAACCCUGUCCACACCUUGGUCUCCACUUUCUGGCCUCCAGAGCUGUAGGGGAACCCACUUCUGUGGUUUGAAGCCACCAAGUUCGUGGUGACUUAUGGCAGCCCUAGGAAAGUGACAUGCACAGGUAAACCACAUUCACUGCAGGAAAUAUACAAAUCAGCAAAAAGAAAAAAAGCACACAGGGGCACCACCCCCAGAGACAGCCAUGGCUGACAUCCUAGCGGCUGUCACCUCGGAGUGAUGUUCCUAAAAUGCAAACUUCUGAACUGCUUAAAACUCUUCCAGACACCCUCAGGUUGACAUCACAACUCCUUUGUUGGGCCUUCCAAGGCUGGUCCUUCCCGUGGCCUCUUUUCCCUCCGCUCUGUGACAGUCCAUGACGGGCACACUUGCCUAUGCUUGUUCUCCCAGGCAGUGGCCUUGUGUGGGCCUUCAGCUUCCAGUUCCAUGGCCUGGUGGAGGACCCUGUGGUGCAAGCCUUCCUCCAGACCCCCCUGGCCUGGGGCCCAAGACUGGGAAGCCUUUGAAGAUUUCAGUUUGUAAGUAGUGAGAGCAAUGAUCUUGGCUUUGCAUGGUGCUCAGGAAGCCUUCCCCGCUCCCAAACCAGAAAGGAAUCCAUCCAGAUUUUCCUCCACUGUCUGGAUGGCCGCUCUGUGGAUGCUUCCAUCUGUAUCCAUUGCCGGCACCUGGUGAGGUAUGAGGAAUGGGGCCCGGCUUUCCAAACACUCUCCAGAUGCCCCACCCUCUGGAUGGCUUCUGGCUGCCCAUGGGGACACCGUGGACCUUAAUGGUGGAGGAGCCAGGGUGAGGUGACUUGGGAUGAAGUCCCAUGACAGGGUCACAGGGUCGUACAGGAGGGAGCAGAUUUCAGACUAGCAGGGUGGGAGCCCUGUGGGGGUCCUCCGAGGAGCAGAUCCUGGUCCAGACACCCACAGAGGGCUGGGGUGGGGGUAUCCUGGCCAAGGGGGUGUGGCCAGCAGCACUUUCCCUGCUCUGUGCACCCUGGGCCUCCAUUCUGCGAAGGCCUGGGGAUGUGCCGGUGGCAGAACCACGCGCCUCAGGAGAAGGCCCGCCGUCCUGUCGGGCAUUGCCACAUCCUUGCCUGGAGAAGCAGAGCCUCCCCCAGCGUCCAGCUGGCUGGCAAGUUUUCGAGGACGCUUUACACUUUUCCUAAAUAAGCUGCACACUUACAGUGAAAUCAUCUCCUCCCUCCUAACACAGCCACCCCAUACCCUAGUAUUGGCUGCAGCACAGCUCUAGAGUGAGGGAUGAUCUCCAACACAGACAACGCAAAGCCUCCCUUCCACUCCCACGAGAAAGGCCUCUGUGGACCCCUCAGGCUCCAUCCCCGGGCUGGUAUCCCAGGCUCAGCAGGAGCAGUGCUGGGGGACUCUACGGGACCUCGUACCCCAGAGCCUAGAACCCCCCGUGCGGUGUGCCUGGCCCUCACUGUGAGGACUACGCCGGCCGCUUCUGCUCUGAGAGCCUUCAUGUGUCCCCCUGGCUCCUUCCACCAGCCCAGGGGUAGAGGGUGGGAUGCCAAGGCCUCUGGGAGACAGAACUCAGAGGGGCAGAGUCCCUGCCCAGAGGCCACCAGCAGGUCCCUGCAAAGGGCAGAGUGGGCAGUAUCUGGUGUGGAGCCUGUACUCAGUGGGAUGGGGCCAUCGUGAGGGUCCAGGCCAGCCUGUCUGAGACCUCUGCUCACUGCUCCAGUCUGUCCAGGCCCUGGGUCUCCUGGCCCCCACUCCAGUGGCAUCUUUGUGAGGAUUAGAUUAUGGUGCCCUCCCCCAACCCCAGGUGUCCCAGCCCUCUACCAAGGCCCAUGACCCAGCCCUUUAGAGUCUGGUUUGGACAUGGCACCUGCUAAGCCCAGGCCAGCAGCCCCAUGGGAUGGACUCCCCACUGCCGGUGUCUGCCUCCUGGGUCUGAGGAAUCUUUUUUUUUUUUUUUUUUUUUUUGAGGCAGCGUCUCACUGUGUUGCCCAGGCAGGACUGCAGUGGUGCGAUCUCAGCUCACUGCAACCUCCACCUCCCGGGUUCAAGCAAUUCUCCUGCCUCAGCUUCCUGAGUAGCUGGAACUACAGGUGCGCCACCAACCCAGCUAAUUUUUCUUUUUCUUUUUCUUUUUUUUUUUUUUUUUUUGAGAUGGAGUCUCACUCUGUUUCCAGGCUGGAGUGCAGUGGUGCAAUCUCAGCUCACUGCACCCUCAGCCUCCCAAGUAGCUGGGACUACAGGCACAUACCACCACACCCAGCUAAUUUUUGUAUUUUUAGUGGAGAUGGGGGUUUCACCAUGUUGGCCAGGAUGGUUUCGAUCUCCUGACCUCGUGAUCUGCCCACCUCGGCCUCCCAAAGUGCUGGGAUUACAGGUGUGAGCCACUGCACCCAGCCCUAAUUUUUGUGUUUUUAUUAGAGUUGGGGUUUCACCAUGUUGGCCAGGCAUGUCUGAGAAUUCUACAGCUUCAUUUUGUGCCUAGGGCCAGGACAGUGGAGGUUGUGGGCCACACAGCAUUCCCAGGUAGCUGAAGCUUCUCUGUUGAUGGAACAGCCCCAGGCACGUGGCUUGGCUUGUGGUGUGAGGGGUGGCCAUUGGGUCCAUUGCUGUGGUGUCACUGUUUGCUUCUCCGCACCAAGAGACUCCACCUGGGACCCGCCUGCUAGGGGCUAGCGUCAGGGUUAGGUUAGGGAGGAGGUGGCUUCAUCUGAGCUCCAGGACAUUGGCUGGAGCUUCCUUUGCUUUUCUGUCACGGUGUGGUCCCCAGUCCUUGGGACAAACUCACCUGAGUCCCUGAGGUUUCCCCCUCCUGCUGCCCCUGGCCUGAGCUCUGAGAAGCCUGACCCCAACCCUCCCAGAGCUUCCCUCGAGGGGCCCUUCGUAGGCUGCCCUGUGUUCACUACCCUCCCAGGUCCAAGUCUCACCUCCUCCAGAAGGCCUCCCAGGACUGCUGGCCCCAGACACAGAACUCCCAAGGGAAGGCUCUUCCACUAAAAGUCCAGCUGCAGCGAUAAUGAUGAGUUUGGAGAGGGCUGCAGACCCUGAGGCAGGGGUUGGUGCAGGGGCUGGACCUGAAACUGGGUUCACACAACAAGCUCGGACUCCUCUUAACACUCCUGAUUGGUGACAUUAUGGGGUCUUGGAUGCCUCCUCCUCUCUGUCCCUCGUACUGCCCCUGCCACCUGGGACUCCACCAAGUUCCUUCUCCACCAGCCAUGAGGAGAGCCUGCCCAGGGGCCAGCACUCUCUCCCUGAGCCUUAGAACCAGGAGGAUUCUCACUGCUUCUAUGUCACAGUAGGUAAAAAACACAUAAAAUAAAAUGAAAUAUCAUGAUCACCUGAGAAGAAAGUUCAGAGUAGGCCCGUAUCACGUGUUUCCAGAGAAUCCACAGCUUCCCUAUGAAGCCAUUGCUGGCAUAGGGAAGGGUGGGGCCAGGAAACAGCCGCUAUCCAGCCCCUCCAGGUUGACUCAAGUCAGAGUGUGUGGGGGCCAGUCAUGGAACAGAGGGAGCCUCCUGCCCAGGGCAAGCGUGGGGAGACCACCAGGGGCCCCAGACAGGUGAGCCGCUCCAGCAGGGACAGCACAGGUGGUGCAUGGUCGGGGCUGGACAUCGGGGUUAGUCGGCAAGGAUGAGGAGUCUCUGGGGAUGGAGGCUGAGGCUUGGGGUUCUCAGGCAAGGGCAGGCCUAGGUGCAGCAGAGAAUUGUUUGGAGGGAGGAAAUCAAGCUUUCCUUCUAGAAAGGGUGACAGGGACCAAAGGGAGAGGGCAGGGACAGCCCCUGGAAAGGGCAGGUGAGGAAGGUGAGGCUGGAGGGGACCCAAGAAGGGAUCCUGGGGAGGUAGUGGCCAAGAGCAGGGUGAGGGCCAGGCCGCACCUUUCGCUGUACCCAGCUCUCCCUGGGGUGGCCCUGGCCCUGCUCUGCUGUCCCCUGCAGGACAGGUGCCUCAGGCUUGUCCCAGCUUGUCCUACAGCAGGUCCUCAGCACCCACAGGUCCUGCCUUGGGCUCUGCAGAAGCAGGGAGUGGUGAGGUCAGGACCCUGGGCCACAGAAGAAAUGGUCUGGGGGACAAGGACGGGGGUUGGGGGACUGACAGCUGUUUUCUGAAGGCCCGGGGAGUGGAGGAGAGGGGUGAGGGGCCAAGGCUUGGGGCUCAGUAUGGGGGCAGCUGCAGGGGGUGAGGGGGCCAGUGGGGCCAGUGAAGAGGGCCUAGGGUCUGGUAUCUGCAGCAGGCACUCACAGAGGACAGACUGUUUGCAAGGUAGGUCAGGUGACAGGGAGCCAGGGGGGCUGAGGAGGCUCAGGGCCUGACUCCAGGGAGAGCAGUUGCCAUCCCCCAGGUCCAGAGGGGCCCUGGGAGGAGUCCAGGCAGGGCUGAAGCUGGAAGAAGUAAGAGGGGCUGGCACUCAAGGACUGCAGCCACUGGCCAGGUGGGGCCAGGUCGGACCGGCUGCCUUCCCUGGUCUCAGCCCCAGCCUUCUGUGGCUGCCUCCCCCAUCGGAGCCAUCAGAGAGCAGGAUGUGGGAGGGGCAGGUGAAGGACAGCCUCUGUGAUAGUCCCUGGUGUGCUGCAGCCUGGGGUGAGGGGCCUUGGGGAUGGGAAGGGCUGGGAGCUGGGAGACGAUGGCUCCCAGCACUUGGUCCUGAGGGGCCUUGGAGCAGCUUCCCCCAGGCCUGCAGAGGCAACUUCUGACACUCGGGGAGCUGAGGCCAAGGGAAGGCUCCCCAGACACAAGGAGAAGGGGCUGGGGGCAGCCAGAAGGCUUUGGGCUACCCUCCCUGGAGGCUCAGGUCCCAGGUGACCCCUCCAGCUGUGUUCCUUCCAAGAUUGGGACCUGCAAAGAUUGCAGAUGUGAGGAAAGGAAGGUGUCUUGGGCAUUCUUCCCAGUGUGGCUGAGCUGUGCCUGUGAGGACAUGCAGACACUCAGAGGACCUGUCCUCAGGGGCCCCAGGGUGAAGGUCAAGAUCUCACCUUACAACCAGCCGGGCCCUGACUACUUCCAGCCACCAGGCCCCCAGGACAGGAGCAGGACAGUGGUUAUUUCCCCAGUGGACGGGGGGCUCCAGGUCACAUAAGAAUAACAUGCCCUGUGACAAGGCGUGGGGAUGAAAAUGCUUCCCCCUGGGCUGAGAUUCCAGGACACCUGAGAUGGGGGGACCCCGGCCACAUGUUUAGAGCUCUCAGGGAACCUGGAGGGCCCCUCAGCCUCUGUUCCCCUACUGGGGAGAACAGAGGCCUGGUGGUAGCAAUUUCAGGGAACUCAGAGAAACACUGUUCCCCAGACCUUGGAGCUCCCUCUGUGCCUGGCUCUCACUGUGAGGCCCCCCACCAGCUGGUCCUGCUCAGGGAGCCUCCACGUGUCCCCCUGGUUCCUCCGGCCAGCCUAGGGGUGGAGGGUGCGGUCCCCAUGGCCUGUAGGAAGUAGGGCUCAGAGGGGCAAAGUCACCGCCCUGAGGUCACCAGGAGGUCCCGGCAGAGGGGGUUGGGGCCUGGCUCAGGGCCUGUUCUCCCUGCUGAGCUCAGUGGGAUGGGGCCAUCUCAAGGGUCCCACUGUUUUUCUCUGGUCUCUGCCCCAGCAUGUGGUGGGACCUUGAUUUCCAUACUCUCAUGUCACCAGUCUGUUGGGGGGCAGAGGUUAUGGGGUCACUGAUAUCACCUGGCUCAUUCCUCCCCCAUCCAGGCUGUCCCAUGAGAAUGUCUAAUCUGUAUGUCAUCGGAGUCAAUAAUGUGUUUUGCUAUCGCUCUGGUUCCAGGGAUAUUGCUCAGCCAAAGGGCCAGCAUCCCAGUGAAGAAGAUCAGAAAGAGGCUUCCGGUCACCAGGAGACUCCUGGGGAGGGCCUAGGCUGGGAGUGGGACACGGGUGGGGUUGGAUGGAAGAGUACCAGGUGGGCCUAGGAUGGAUGGAGGAGGCUGUGUCCCCAGCUACAGGCCUGGAGAUGUUACGGGACCCAACAGGCCCCCAGCCUCCAUCCCCGUGCUGGGUUCUCAGGUUUAGUGGGGGCAGUGCCUGGGGACUCAGAGGGACCCUGACCCCAGAGCUUGGAGACCCCUCUGGAGCAUGCCUGGCUCUCACUGUGAGGCCCGCACCAGCCAGUCCUGCUCUGAGAGCCUCCUCGUGUCCCCCUGGCUUGUCCUGCCAGCCUGGGGGUGGAGGGUGUGGUCCCCAUGGCUUGUGGGAGGGAGGGCCCAGAGGGGCAAAGUCACCACCCUGAGGCCACCAGGAGAUCCCUACAGAGGGCAGAGUGGGUUGGGGCCUGCCUUAGGGUCUGUUCCCCUUGAGCUCGGUGGGACAGGGCCAUCUCGAGGGUCCCAGUGUUUUUUUCUGGUCCCUGCCCCAGUGUUUAAUGGGACACAGCCCCUCACAUCCCCAGUCUGUGGGGGGCAGAGGUCAUGGGUCACUGACAUCCCCUGGCUCAUUCCUCCCACAUUCACCCAACAGACCCCUUAUCCUCCAUCCCCCUGCUGAGACUGGGGAUUGGCUCAGGGCCUGUUCUCCCCACUGAGUUUGGUGGGAUGGGGCCAUCUUGAGGGUCUGGGUGUUUUUCUCAGGUGGGACCUAGAUCCCCACAGUCCCUCACGUGCCCAAUCUGUGGGGUGGGCAUGGGGUCACCAAGGUCACCUGGUUCAUUCUUCCCCCAUCCAGAUUCCGUCUCUAGAGCCUUUGAGGUCACUCCUGACGCUGACAUGGCUGUGAAGAGCUGGGUGCCAGGCAUUACUGCCUCCAAGGUUGCUUUGCGAGGAAUAGGUGGGGCAUCAGGAAGAAGCCAGUUGCAGGCAAGGCCUCUGCUGAUGCUGCUUUUUUCUCCUGUACCCAUCCAUGGGAGGGAGCUGUGAGAUGGCCUGGCAGAACCCGCUCUUGGACCCCACAGAAUGAGAGGCUCACCCUGCACAGGAACAUCCUGGGGCAGCAGGCUCAGCACAUUUUAAAUUUUGAGUAUGAACAAAGUAAACUUCAGGGUUAAAAAAAAACACAAAAAUUUGUCGAGCACACAAUGAUUGAGUGCCUAUGGUAUACCUGACGCUUUGCCAUAUCCAGGCUUCAAACCUCAGGGUUCUGGGUCCUUUGAGGCCCAGCUCCAACCCCACCUCACCCAAGCACUCUCCACCCCCACCACGUAACCUUACCAGGGCUGCCCAGCUUGGGUCAUCUCAGACCACUUGGGCCCCUCAGGCCUCACGCCCUGAGCCCCUC
rnacentral:lncRNA from 1 species